AGGACUGUCCCCUUUUUAUGCCCUUGGAGACAACUGGAGACACACAGACUGACUGUCUCUAGGGGAAUAAUACCUGAGGAUGCCAGCUUGACAGGGCGAGGACUUGAACUGCUUUGGAAAAGGACUUUAUCUUCUGAAGAUGUAGCUUCGUGACGGAGGGGCAGUGGGUCUGGAAGAGACGGACCCCAAACAGGAGUGCCAUUUACUAAUUUGAACAAAGGUGCCAUAUGGGGCAAAUGGCAGUCCUGGGUCAAUAAAUGGAAGCAGAACCAGAGCAUAUACCUGAGAGCAACGGUGUGCUCUUCCACUCUACGCAGUGGCGAGACGAGGACCUCGUUUAUGGUUCUGCUGAAGUGACAAAAAGACAAUGGGAACACAGCAUAGAAGUCAAGCUAAUUUGGGUUGUGACUAUAUUUAAGGAAUGUUCAGCCGACAGUAUUUUGGAUGCAGAAACGCUUAUUUCCAUAGUCUCCGAAGUUCAAAUCCAACUAACAGAACUAUGGACUUGUUCCAGGUCUCUGUGUCUAUAUGAGUGUAAAAUAAUUGUCAAUGUGGUUUUUAAUGAGAGUACAUUUAUGUCUUUUUUCCUGCAUAUCGUUUUCUUGCUAUCUGGGUCUGGGUCAGGAUUCUCAGGGUGUGAGCAACAGAAAUAAGGAAGAGCUGUAUGAGGAGGGCAGUGAGGUCCCUCAGCAAAUCAGAAGUAGAACUGAACAAUCAGACAGGAAACAGAGCAACUCUGAGCAUGUUAGGAAGAGGGACACAGCAUUUCCUGGGGCACCAAAUCAGAUUAAUUUUAUUAGCACUACCCAUUCCUUUGAGAGAUGAUCUGAUUGACCUUGAGAGAGCCAUGUGCCCAACUGCAAGGGUGGGUGAGCAGCACACUGUGAAAAUGAGCCUAUAACCAGAGAAAAGGAAACAAAAUAAAAAUGCA